rnacentral:piRNA from 1 species
UUCCUCGUUGCUAUUAAAAAU